AUCUCUGCUGGAUCAGGAUUCGUUACUAAAAGAGCUCCCUCUGCCUCUACAUCAACCCCUACCACCACGCCCACGUGUUCUAGUAGAUUUUGGUGGCAUGACUGUAUUGUUUCCGAGAAAUCUACGUAUUAAUCAGAAAUAGAAGGAAUGGAACUGUAUUGAUAUGGAACACGAUGUUGACGUUAUUGCUGAUAACGUAGUAAGAUCGCG
rnacentral:lncRNA from 1 species